GAUGAACGCUAGCGGCAGGCUUAAUACAUGCAAGUCGAACGGUAACAGGUGUAGCAAUACACGCUGACGAGUGGCGCACGGGUGCGUAACGCGUAUGCAACUUACCCUUAACUGGAGAAUAGCUCGAAGAAAUUCGAAUUAAUACUCCAUAACAUUGCGAUCCGGCAUCGGAUUGUUCUUAAAGCUCCGGCGGUUAAGGAUGGGCAUGCGUGACAUUAGCAGUUGGUGAGGUAACGGCUCACCAAGGCAACGAUGUCUAGGGGAUCUGAGAGGAUUAUCCCCCACACUGGUACUGAGACACGGACCAGACUCCUACGGGAGGCAGCAGUAAGGAAUAUUGGACAAUGGGGGCAACCCUGAUCCAGCC
rnacentral:rRNA from 1 species